UCUCCUAUACAUGUAGCUCAGUGGUAGAGCAUCCAAACUAGUAAUCGUAAGAUCAUAGGUUCGACUCCUGUUGCGAGAA